UACGGAGGGGGCUAGCGUUGUUCGGAAUUAUUGGGCGUAAAGGGCGCGUAGGCGGCCCUGUGUGUCGGGUGUGAAAGCCCACCUCUUAAAGGUGGAAUUGCAUUCGAAACUACAGGGCUGGAGUGUCGGAGAGGAUGGCGGAAUUCCUGGUGUAGAGGUGAAAUUCGUAGAUAUCAGGAGGAACACCGGUGGCGAAGGCGGCCAUCUGGACGACAACUGACGCUGAGGCGCGAAAGCGUGGGGAUCAAACAGG
rnacentral:rRNA from 1 species